rnacentral:rRNA from 1 species
AGCAGCCGCGGUAAUUCCAGCUCCAAUAGCGUAUAUUAAAGUUGUUGCAGUUAAAAAGCUCGUAGUUGAACUUCGGGGUUUACCCAUUGGUCAGGCUUAAUUGUCUGUACUGGUGAGCUGAAUCUCUACCUUCUGAGGAACUUUCAUGCCAUUUAUUUGGUGUGAUGGGAAAUCAGGACUGUUACUUUGAAAAAAUUAGAGUGUUUAAAGCAGGCUAACGUCUGAAUACAUUAGCAUGGAAUAAUGAAAUAGGACGGAUUGAUUCUAUUUCGUUGGUUUCUAGGAUCACCGUAAUGAUUAAUAGGGAUAGUUGGGGGCAUUAGUAUUCAAUUGUCAGAGGUGAAAUUCUUGGAUUUAUUGAAGACUAACUACUGCGAAAGCAUUUGCCAAGGAUGUUUUCAUUAAUCAAGAACGAAAGUUAGGGGAU